AGUAGUUUGAUCCGUGGCUCAGGACGAACGCUGGCGGCGUGCUUAACACAUGCAAGUCGAACGGAAAGGCCCUGCUUGCAGGGUACUCGAGUGGCGAACGGGUGAGUAACACGUGGGUGAUCUGCCCUGCACUUCGGGAUAAGCUUGGGAAACUGGGUCUAAUACCGGAUAGGAACCAUCUUUAGUGUGGUGGUGGUAAAGUUUUUUCGGUGUAGGAUGAGCUCGCGGCCUAUCAGCUUGUUGGCGGGGUAAUGGCCUACCAAGGCGGCGACGGGUAGCCGGCCUGAGAGGGUGUACGGCCACAUUGGGACUGAGAUACGGCCCAGACUCCUACGGGAGGCAGCAGUGGGGAAUAUUGCACAAUGGGCGCAAGCCUGAUGCAGCGACGCCGCGUGGGGGAUGAAGGCCUUCGGGUUGUAAACUCCUUUCGCUAGGGACGAAGCUUUUGUGACGGUACCUAGAUAAGAAGCACCGGCUAACUACGUG
rnacentral:rRNA from 1 species